rnacentral:lncRNA from 1 species
UUUUUUUUUUUCUGUCUAAACCAGAGAAACAGUAAUAAUUCUUGUCUGUUUGAAUAAGGAAGUAAAAAACUUAGGGCACAGGAGUUGAAACUCUAAAGUUAGGGACCAUUCUGCCUUGGCUUAGAGGGUCAUUACCUGUCCUCAGGACUGAGCUCUGCCCUGUAAAGCUGGGAGGUCACGGCCUCCAGGUCCUUCCGACACCGGGACAGCUUUUCCUCUAGCCCGUCAAUCUGAAAUAGACAGAGGCACUGAGCUUUCCUGACACUGGCACCUCAGAGGGACUCACCUUUAGGGCCCCCACCCUGCCCAUGCACCCCAUGUCUGUACUGGACAGGGCACAGGUUGAGGGUGAAGCAGAACCCCAGGUUAGCUGUGUCUUGUAGGAACAGGGCACCAGUUGUUUCCACCAGAGCCUGGUACCCUGUAGCACUCCCCCUGUGGUGUGUACUCAAGGGAAAAAGCACUGCAGAGCCAGUCCCAGGUCCUGAGCACUCCUCGUGGCGUGGGAGGGGUUAAGUGUCAAGGGUUCUUCCUUGUAGAUAUCCUAACAGUGCAGUUUGUGUUGUCACAAGAGACAUUUUUCUGAGAAUCAAUAAAAAUUGGCGAAACAAUGCAACU